rnacentral:rRNA from 1 species
AAUCAACGCUGGCGGCGUGCCUAACACAUGCAAGUCGCACGAGAAAGGGUAGCAAUACCUGAGUAAAGUGGCGCACGGGUGAGUAACACGUGACUAAUCUACCCUCGAGUGGGGAAGUAACUGAGAGAAAUACUUAGCUAAUACCGCAUAACACUUACGAGUCAAAGACAGCAAUGCGCUUGGGGAGGAGGUCGCGGCCGAUUAGCUAGUUGGCGGGGUAA